rnacentral:rRNA from 1 species
AGAACGAACGCUGGCGGCAUGCCUAAUACAUGCAAGUCGAACGAACUCUUCGGAGUUAGUGGCGCACGGGUGCGUAACGCGUGGGAAUCUGCCCCUUGGUUCGGAAUAACAGUUGGAAACGACUGCUAAUACCGGAUGAUGACGAAAGUCCAAAGACUUAUCGCCAAGGGAUGAGCCCGCGUAGGAUUAGCUAGUUGGUGAGGUAAAGGCUCACCAAGGCAACGAUCCUUAGCUGGUCUGAGAGGAUGAUCAGCCACACUGGGACUGAGACACGGCCCAGACUCCUACGGGAGGCAGCAGUAGGGAAUAUUGGACAAUGGGCGAAAGCCUGAUCCAGCAAUGCCGCGUGAGUGAGUGAAGGUCCUUAGGUUGUAAAGCUUCUUUACCGAGAUGAUAAUGACAGUAUCGGAA